GAAGGCGACCAAAACAAAACAAACAAAAUCGCGUCGCAAAAAAAAAAAAUUUGGCCACCGUGGUUGUGGAAGCCUGGAAGCACGACGGUGGUCCUGGACUCCGUCAGCGGUUCCUGCAUCGAGAUCGAGCUGCUCGGAAAACUGGACUUUGGAGGUGCAUCAAGGUGAGCCUGGCGACGGCGCCGUUCGAUGUGCUGGUGGAGCAGGAGAUUGCAUCGAGUGUGUCAUUGCCACGACGUCGAAAACGGGAAAAACGAUGGCCGUCAGCGGCUGGAUGAGGACAUUUCGUUUUUUGCCGAUUGCCAUUCUACUCAAAAGCUGACCGAAACCUACCGGAAGUAAAGCUUGUACAAGAUAACGCCAAACGGGAGGUUUGGCAUAAUUGGCCCUCUUGGGCAUGGACAAGUGCCUGUGGAAUUUUGGAAAAUCUAGGUAGUGGCGGCAAAGCUCAUUCCGUCACUUCCAACUGAUGCGCAUCGGUGCCAGGUACCCUAUGCAACUCUUCUACCUACACGAUUGCAUCACCAUCUGCGGCCGCCAUGGUCCUAACCCGGUUCUUGGUCCGUCCCAGUCGCGGGAAGUUUUUUGGUGUAGCAUCGUCAGGUUCAGUGAACUCCGGAAACGUUUCCGAAACGUCGUGUCCGCCGUGAUGUGCAGUGGAAGAGGAAACAACAGCUUCUCCUGUGGCAUCGUAAACGACCGGGAAGCAUCAACAUCGGCUGACGAUGUUAAUGACGGAGUGAGGCCGCAGUUGUGAGGAGCCCCCGACGGGAAAUCUUAGCAAAGCCUCAAGAAGUUUUUUGCGGAGCACGGGCUGGACAGUCCGGAUUCGUGUUAGAGGACGAGGACGUCAUUUCGGGUUGGUGGCGCCAGGCUAGAUUGAAGGCAACAGCAAGGAAAUUAUCGCGGGUGUUAAACUUACUGUGCAGUGAUGUCAAAACAUGAACGUGAAUAUAAAAACGUACCUCUAUUAUUGUUAAUAAAGAUAUAAAAGCAAUUCAAAACAAGUGCAACUAUUUUAAAAACGUAAUCCAAACUAAUUCGAAAGUUUAAGUGGUCUGCUUAGCAAGUAUCUUGAUCCAGUAUGAUGGAUUCUAGAUUUUUUAAACCGAAUUAGGCUAAAAAAUAGCUGAAAUAAGUAUAACACUAUUUUGAAUUUACUUUAAUUCCUUUUUUUUAAAUAUUAUACUACUU